AAGUCGUAACAAGGUCUCCGUAGGUGAACCUGCGGAGGGAUCAUUAACUUGUAUGUUGAUGUAUGACAGAAAUGUCAUUGCAUCAACAAUCAACACCAAAACAAAUCAACCCCGUGAAUUCGAGUAUUCAUUUACUCAAUGUCAGCACCGUUAAUUGAAAGGCGAAACGGAGCAUUUAGUUGCUGUCCAGUGACGCGUCACCGAUUGGAAGGGUGUUUUGUGUGGUAACACACAAAAAUGCCUGGUGUCGUCACCUCGUUUAGUAGAUUCGGACAAUUUUAUUUAACCUAUUUCACCAGCUCGUAUAACAAUUGACUGAAACGAAAAGGCGAUUGCUAGUUAACGCUAGCAAACACCUUCAACCUUCGAAUUAUUCGAAUACUAAGCACAACUCUUAGCAACGGAUAUCUUGGUUCUC
rnacentral:misc_RNA from 1 species